UUUUUCCUGUUCUGAUUCUGUGAUCCUUCUAGGAUACAUUAUUUUAAAACAGAAUUGCUACUCUUUCUUUCCUUUUUCUAAAUAAAUAAAGGGCUAGUAAUAAGUUCUUUCUGAUUACUUAAAACUUUUAUAUCCUCUUAUUCAAUUUUAGUAACUAAAAUAAGGAUACUGGAUUAAUGAUCAAGUAAAAUGGGAAGAAUAUUUGAGGAAGUUGAAAAGCAUUUAAAUUCACUUUGCAUUUUUAUUUUGUUACAGAGAACAGAGGUUACAUAAAUAACAUACAGACUUUGAAAUCAGAAGCUUAUGAAUUUUAAACUAAUAUAUAUUAAUGCAAAUGAUGGACAAAAUAUACAUGCUAAGAAAAGGAAACAAUACUUUUCCCUACCACAGUGUUCUAAUGCUUAAUAAAAGCUUUUAAUUAAAUAGAAAGUCUGGAACGCCCUAGGUUUAUAAAAUACCUUUCAACCAAAAUGUUAGGUAUACUUAUAUAAAUUGUGUCUGUUUCAAAUGCCUUUUUUGACCUGCCCCAAGAAGUUAAUGAGGGUAGAUAAUUUUGCGAUCAAGCAAACAGGAAGAGAUACAGUCCAGAAAUAUUAUUAUAAUAUACUCUAUGAGAGGC
rnacentral:lncRNA from 1 species